GAUCCUGGCUCAGGAUGAACGCUAGCUACAGGCUUAACACAUGCAAGUCGAGGGGCAGCGGGAUUGAAGCUUGCUUCAAUUGCCGGCGACCGGCGCACGGGUGAGUAACGCGUAUCCAACCUUCCGUACACUCAGGGAUAGCCUUUCGAAAGAAAGAUUAAUACCUGAUGGUAUGAUGAGAUCGCAUGGUAUCAUCAUUAAAGAUUUAUCGGUGUACGAUGGGGAUGCGUUCCAUUAGGUAGUAGGCGGGGUAACGGCCCACCUAGCCUACGAUGGAUAGGGGUUCUGAGAGGAAGGUCCCCCACAUUGGAACUGAGACACGGUCCAAACUCCUACGGGAGGCAGCAGUGAGGAAUAUUGGUCAAUGGACGAGAGUCUGAACCAGCCAAGUAGCGUGAAGGAUGAAGGUCCUACGGAUUGUAAACUUCUUUUAUAAGGGAAUAAAACCUCCCACGUGUGGGAGCUUGUAUGUACCUUAUGAAUAAGCAUCGGCUAACUCCGUG
rnacentral:rRNA from 1 species